GUCGUCGGACUCGUACCCGCAUUUUGCUUCUGUCUAUUGCCAAACUGCCCUCGCCUCCCUCCCAACCCAUGAUCCGCGAACGAGUCCGGCGGCCGCGCCUCUGUUGCGGGUCAGGUUCGGCGGCCUCUCGGCCCGCGACGAGGCGAACGGAUCCGGCGGCCGCUCUACCACGACCGGAUCUGACGGGCACUCGACCGCGACGAGGCGACCGCAACAAGAUCCGGUGACCGCUCCUCCGUCCGCUGCCGCGACGAGGUGACCAUUGGAGCUCCUCCAAGAAGAAGACGUCCAGUGGAUUGUCACAGCAAUUGACGAUAUAAUCAUGGAGUACCCACAUUCCUCUACAUUGGAGUGAAAGCUCAAUGACGCCACAUGAAAUGUGGCCAGCAUAUAAAUAUAUGCUGCCCACGCUCCUAGACCUGCUGUAGCGAGUGGGAGAGGAGUUGAAUUUGAAAAACUUGCAGCAGUCAGUCCAUUCAGCAUGAGGACAAGAGAAACUACAAAGUAGAUGCUUCCCCAAAAGAUCCAUGUUGGAUGUUGUGCUUGUAUGUUACUAAGAACACCAGUUGCAGCUCCCCAAAACACAGAUCCCAGACCAUAAAGGCAGAUCUUCUGAUACCCCUCAUAGGGGACCAUUUCUGUCCUAUGUUACUGCCUUUCUUGGCCACUGAAAAUCGGGCUAGGAGCGAACAGGCCUCCAGCAUAGUGUUAGGCGCUCCUCAGUAGGAUCCCAGCAGGAUAAUUUUGAAUCCUGGGAUGAAUUUCUGGGCUGGGUUAAAAAAAAACCAAAAAAAAGGUAGAGGGCUCCCCUGCCAACGGUUUUAAAAAAACCUGGCUAGGAGGACGCGGUCUAAUGCCAUGAGAAUGGCUGUAAGGCAAGGUGUGACUUACUGGUGUGGUCUAUUGCUUUAGUUUUGUUUGGGUAUUAAGCCUACAAUGCCCUGGCCCUUUUCGCUGUUGAUGUGAUUGGUUGGUGUCUGUCGAUCAGACCAAUUGUUUCUUUACCUAAGGAAUAUGUUGACAUGCUAAAAGGUAUGAUGCCUGACAUAUCUAUGUUUGUCGUAGUUUUUGUGAUAGUCUUUGCGACUUGCUUACUGCUGUUUUUUUUUUGUUGUUGUGGUCCUGUAUUUUUUAUAUCAUUUUUCAGCGACAUAUCCUCAAAGAUCAUAUUACGGUGGACCCGAUUAUGUGUGCCAGUACUGUAAUGCUGCUUUCUGGUGCAAUGAGAGGAUAGUAAGUGAGAGCUCUUAGUCCCAACAACGGGUUGUCUAUAGGUUGUGUUGUCAUGCUGGAAGAGUGUCCCUGCCCAAACGGAUGCAUCCUCUGCCUCCUUUGUGUAAUUGCUUUAUUUUUAUGGUGGUCCAUGCAGCAAUGCUUUUAUGCGUUUGAUUGGACAGUACAACUCUCUUUGCUUUCACCUCUCUUGGAGUCGAUGUGGACAGAUCCAUUAAUACUGGUGCUGGCCAUAUGUCUUUCGGUUAAAUGGCAUAGUUCAUCAUCAGAUUGGAUUGCUGAUUCCUCCACUAGGCAAAAGGCCUGAGUAUGCACAGCUAUAUAUUCAUGACACGACAAAUUAGUUACAGAAUAGAUUAAAUAUCUUUUUAGGAGACACCACUGAGUCUACAGAUCCACAGUUAGUCAGUGCUCUUACCGAGAUGCUAAAUAAGUGUAAUCCAUUUUUUCAGAAGUUUAGAAUGGCCAGUGAUAGAUUGCAGUCACCUGAUGCACCUGAAAUUGCAAUUAAUUUGAUUGGGACAGUAGAUGGUCAUGGUGAUAGAUAUUCUACCCCAAUUGCCACUGAGGUUGCUGCGCUCCUGGUUGGUGGUAUGUCAGUUACUGCUUCUCAGUUUGACAUUGUUGUUGAGACUAUAAGCAUCUCGGUACCAUGGCGCUGCAGUAUCCUCUUUUAUUUCCCUAUGGUGAACAUGGGUUUCACACUAAAAUCAGGCUUAUCCCUGACUGUUCUGGUGCUAUUAAAGGUCGCGAGAAUGUUAAGAGUUCCCAGCCUUUGUUGCACUGUGCUGCUGGCAGCUUUGGAAGGCCAGAAACGUUUUUUGCUUUCAGGAAUGAAACACACAGCAUUGAUCAGGUGUUGGGCGCAUGCAAAUCGGCUGCAGAACAGUGGCCUUUCAGGUUCAAGAAAAAGCACUUAACAGAGAAAUGGUGCCAAGUCUUCGAGAUGGCAAGACAACUGUAGCGUUUUGUAAACGUUUUAACUGACACCGUUUUGGGUUCAGCAUCACCACUUGCGUGAUGUACAAAGCGAACGUACUGUAACUACCUUUGGCCGUUUCGGGCCAUUAUACAUAAAACCAGGUGGGGAACGCCUCCCCACCGUAAAAAAAAACUAUUAUAAGCAUUAUCGUAAGGGCGAGUAUAAUCCUGAAAUUUGUAGUGGUCGACUUUCCUAGCAAUUUCAGGUAAAUGCUUUUUCCUGUGUUGAGGCAAGUAGACUGAGCAAUCAUUUCUUUAAUCAAGAUAAGCUGUGCUGUGAAACCUAUCGAGGAAUUUCAGAUGCUAUUGGAAAAGGAUCAUUAACAGGAAAAGGUGUUGGUGUUAAGAAAACAUUGCCUGCCAGCUUUAUUGGGAGCAAAAGAUACAUGCAGAAGAACUACAAUGAUUGUUUGGCUAUAUGUUGUACCUAUGACCCUCUUGACAUAUUUAUUACUACAUUUACAUGUAACUCCAAAUGGCCUGCGAUACUGGAGGCAAUUAGGUUUGAACCAGGUCAGAAACCAUGUGACAGGAAAUAUGGUUGCACGUGUUUUCCACAUGAAACUUGAUGAGUAUCUUGAAGAUACAGAGACGGUCAUGUGUUCGGUCCCGUUUGUGCAGGUCUGUGCGUGUCCUGUACUUAGACUAUCUCAUUCCAUUGCUAUUCAUGCUAUGCAUUGCUUUCUAAAA